GGCUGGCCUGAAGGCAGUGAGCUACCUCAAAUGAUGGUUCACAGUCAGGUACAGACUAAGCCCCUUGCUCUAUUCUUUACCCCAUUCUCACUACUUCACUGGACUAGUCUAAA
ensembl:Y_RNA Y_RNA Y RNA